rnacentral:tRNA from 1 species
GGAGAGGUGUCCGAGUGGUUGAAGGAGGCGGUCUUGAAAACCGUUGAGCCGAGAGGCUCCGUGGGUUCGAAUCCCACCUUCUCCG